rnacentral:rRNA from 1 species
AGAGUUUGAUCCUGGCUCAGGACGAACGCUGGCGGCGUGCCUAACACAUGCAAGUCGAACGGAGUUGAGGAGCUUGCUCUUCAACUUAGUGGCAGACGGGUGAGUAACGCGUGAGUAACCUGCCUCUGAGAGGGGAAUAACGUUCUGAAAAGAACGCUAAUACCGCAUAACAUUUCGGAACCGCAUGGUUUUGAAAUCAAAGAUUUUAUCGCUCGGAGAUGGACUCGCGUCCGAUUAGUUAGUUGGUGAGGUAACGGCUCACCAAGACCGCGAUCGGUAGCCGGACUGAGAGGUUGAACGGCCACAUUGGGACUGAGACACGGCCCAGACUCCUACGGGAGGCAGCAGUGGGGGAUAUUGCGCAAUGGGGGCAACCCUGACGCAGCAACGCCGCGUGAAGGAUGAAGGUUUUCGGAUUGUAAACUUCUUUUCUUAGGGACGAAAUAUGACGGUACCUAAGGAAUAAGCUCCGGCUAACUACGUGCCAGCAGCCGCGGUAAUA